rnacentral:rRNA from 1 species
UACGAAAGGAUCUAGUGUUAUCUACAAUGAUUGGGCGUAAAGAGUAAUUAGACGGCCGCAGCGUUUUUUCUGGUAAAAAGAUUAAUUUUUAUUUUUUAAAAAAUACUUUAAAAAAAAGCUAUGGCUUGAGUUAAAUAUGGGUAACAAGAAAUUUAUUCCUAGUAGUAAAAUGCAUAGAGUAAUAAAAGAAUGUCAGGAGCGAAGGCGUGUUACUGGGUUUAUACUGACGUUGUUAGACGAAGGCUAGGGUAGCAAACAGG